rnacentral:rRNA from 1 species
GACGAACGCUGGCGGCGUGCUUAACACAUGCAAGUCGAACGGAAAGGCCCUGCUUUUGUGGGGUGCUCGAGUGGCGAACGGGUGAGUAACACGUGAGUAACCUGCCCUUGACUUUGGGAUAACUUCAGGAAACUGGGGCUAAUACCGGAUAGGAGCUCCUGCUGCAUGGUGGGGGUUGGAAAGUUUCGGCGGUUGGGGAUGGACUCGCGGCUUAUCAGCUUGUUGGUGGGGUAGUGGCUUACCAAGGCUUUGACGGGUAACCGGCCUGAGAGGGUGACCGGCCACAUUGGGACUGAGAUACGGCCCAGACUCCUACGGGAGGCAGCAGUGGGGAAUAUUGCAAAAUGGGCGGAAGCCUGAUGCAGCAACGCCGCGUGCGGGAUGACGGCCUUCGGGUUGUAAACCGCUUUCGCCUGCGACGAAGCGUGAGUGACGGUAAUGGGUAAAGAAGCACCGGCUAACUACGUG